AUUUCAACCAGCUAUCUCUGUGAUCCCCCUGCUGGCGAGAGUCAACAGGCCGAUCAACACUAUGUGCACGGCUGACUUCAGAGUUUAUUUUAUAGUUCGUCGAUUCGCUCAGCUGUCGUUUUCACACUUGAUCAUGAACAGACUCCAUGCAAGGGAAAUCAACUGAAGAUGACUGUCUUUCACAGAACUCAAUAAAGAAGCUAGGAGACACGUGGGCUCCGUAACGGGUUUCUCUGUGCAGCCCUGGCUGUCCUGGAACUUGCACUGUAGACCAGGUUAGCCUCGAACUCACAGAGAUCCACUUGCCUCUGCCUCCCAAGUGCUGGGAUUAAAGGUAUGCACCACCACUGCCCAGCUCAAAUAGUUCCUUUUAAAAUCUUUAGUUCUUAUAAGGACACAGAUUUUUAUCUUUUCCUUAAUU
ensembl:antisense Gm15499 predicted gene 15499